AUUGAACGCUGGCGGCAUGCCUUACAUAUGCAAGUCGAACGGCAGCACGGACUUCGGUCUGGUGGCGAGUGGCGAACGGGUGAGUAAUGUAUCGGAACGUACCUUUCAGUGGGGGAUAACGUAGCGAAAGUUACGCUAAUACCGCAUAUUCUGUGAGCAGGAAAGCAGGGGAUCGAAAGACCUUGCGCUGAUUGAGCGGCCGAUAUCAGAUUAGCUAGUUGGUGGGGUAAAGGCCUACCAAGGCGACGAUCUGUAGCGGGUCUGAGAGGAUGAUCCGCCACACUGGAACUGAGACACGGUCCAGACUCCUACGGGAGGCAGCAGUGGGGAAUUUUGGACAAUGGGGGCAACCCUGAUCCAGCCAUGCCGCGUGAGUGAAGAAGGCCUUCGGGUUGUAAAGCUCUUUCGGCCGGGAAGAAAUCGCAUAGGCUAAUACCCUGUGUGGAUGACGGUACCGGAAUAAGAAGCACCGGCUAACUACGUG
rnacentral:rRNA from 1 species